UGGGGAAUAUUGGACAAUGGGCGAAAGCCUGAUCCAGCCAUGCCGCGUGUGUGAAGAAGGUCUUCGGAUUGUAAAGCACUUUAAGUUGGGAGGAAGGGCAUUAACCUAAUACGUUAGUGUUUUGACGUUACCGACAGAAUAAGCACCGGCUAACUCUGUGCCAGCAGCCGCGGUAAUACAGAGGGUGCAAGCGUUAAUCGGAAUUACUGGGCGUAAAGCGCGCGUAGGUGGUUUGUUAAGUUGGAUGUGAAAUCCCCGGGCUCAACCUGGGAACUGCAUUCAAAACUGACUGACUAGAGUAUGGUAGAGGGUGGUGGAGUUUCCUGUGUAGCGGUGAAAUGCGUAGAUAUAGGAAGGAACACCAGUGGCGAAGGCGACCACCUGGACUAAUACUGACACUGAGGUGCGAAAGCGUGGGGAGCAAACA
rnacentral:rRNA from 1 species